AACGACUCUCGACAACGGAUAUCUCGGCUCUCGCAUCGAUGAAGAACGUAGCGAAAUGCGAUACUUGGUGUGAAUUGCAGAAUCCCGUGAACCAUCGAGUCUUUGAACGCAAGUUGCGCCCAAAGCCUCUGGCCGAGGGCACGUCUGCCUGGGUGUCACGC
rnacentral:rRNA from 1 species